rnacentral:rRNA from 1 species
GGCUAUCCGAGUUGAUUCGGGCUCCGGCCCGAUCCUCCCACCCUUUGUGUACCUACCUCUGUUGCUUUGGCGGGCCGCGGUCCUCCGCGGCCGCCCCCCUCCCCGGGGGGGUGGCCAGCGCCCGCCAGAGGACCAUCAAACUCCAGUCAGUAAACGAUGCAGUCUGAAAAACAUUUAAUAAACUAAAACUUUCAACAACGGAUCUCUUGGUUCUGGCAUCGAUGAAGAACGCAGCGAAAUGCGAUAAGUAAUGUGAAUUGCAGAAUUCAGUGAAUCAUCGAAUCUUUGAACGCACAUUGCGCCCUUUGGUAUUCCGAAGGGCAUGCCUGUUCGAGCGUCAUUACAACCCUCAAGCUCUGCUUGGUAUUGGGCACCGUCCUUUGCGGGCGCGCCUCAAAGACCUCGGCGGUGGCGUCUUGCCUCAAGCGUAGUAGAACAUACAUCUCGCUUCGGAGCGCAGGGCGUCGCCCGCCGGACGAACCUUCUGAACUUUUCUCAAGGUUGACCUCGGAUCAGGUAGGGAUACCCGCUGAACUUAAGCAUAUCAAUAAGCGGAGGA